UCAAAUACACAAACUGUCCCUUUAUCCUUGUACCAGUGAAAGGUUGUAAUGAAAGUUUGAGUAUCUUCCUAUGAUGACUUCUCGAAGUUAAACUUCUCUUCUGGCUUCUUACAAGAAGGCAAAAAAAGAAAAACAAAACAAAAACAAAACCUUGUUUUCUGCUACUUUCCUUUCCCCCAGCUGGGGAUGGGACCUAGGGCCUGCUGAACACUAGGCAGCACUCUCCUGUUAAGCUGUCUGCCAGUUGUUUUGACAAAGAUUGAAUUUCUGACACAGGGUCUCGCGCAGGUGUCCCGUGCUUGUGAUGCAUCUCAGGCUCCCCAGUCGCUGUUGAGUGCCAGAUAAUGUGGGUGCAUGCGGGUAUGUAUAUAAAAUUUACCAUCAUUAAUUCUAAUUAGUAAUAAUUAUCACUGCUUUAUCUAUGUGGCGACUGAGACGGAAAAAGGUGGAAGAAAACAGCAAGCUACAAAGUUGAGAUUUAUAUCGUCGCUCUUUUAUUUUUUCGGAAUAACUAAAGAAUUGUAUUUUUUUCUCUUUUCUACUUUAAUUAGGAGCUUUCAAAACUAUUUAACUUUGAGUGUUUUUAUACGGAAAGAAUUUUUCAAAAGUUCAUUAUUCAUGGAGUUGUAAAUAUUUCAGACCAAAGUAAAAGAUGCCUUAAUGGAAUCUUAUGAAGAAUAUACCCCAGCUUAGGACAUCAUAUAAAUUUCAUUUUUUAGCAACACAAAAGGCUAUGUUCAUUAAAGUUUUUACUGUCUUAACAAUUUCCUCUCCUCCUCCAACUAACUAGUCAUGGAUGAUAGUUUAUAGCCCCAUUUUUCAUAUUAUUGCUUACAUGAAUAAAAAUUAUAGUGACUAUUCCUAGCAAACUUGGCAAUGUUUAAACAUUUUUUAAAGCAAGGACAAUAUUGCUGUCAAAUUGGAUUUUAUAAACAGUCUUAUUUGGGAUAACAAUUUAGUUUCAGCACAGAAUUCUUUCUUUUGUCCAAAAUAGCACCAUAAACACCAGAAAUAUGUAAACCUAUAUAUAAAACAUAUAUAAAAUAUAGAAUAUCACUAAUCUUUUUCCUUUAUAUGGUAAUCAUACCAUAUAAAAAGAAAGUAUUGUUGAUGGGCCAAGUAGGAAAGUGAUUUGGGCAAAUGACCUUACUGGCUAUGUAUUAACCUUCAAACACCAGGUAAAUGUCACCUUUCACCAGGAAAGCAAUAUUAAAGAGUUCCUACAAAGCUGGGAUUUGUGUAUUUAUUCUUCAGGAAAUGCUGGCUUUUUGAUAUUUCAGCCAGUGCUGUUAGUGCUGUCCUGCAUUUAGACAGCUGCCUGAAACCCUACAGAAACAGGAGAGAGUUGGCCCCUUGAAAGGUGGUACAGGUUUUAGUUGCUUUAGGAACUGAAAGAGCACAGACAUUCUGACUUAAAAACUAGGACGUAGCUGCAUGGCAUAAACAUCCUUGUAGUCUGUUUAUCCUUCCUGGCUUCAAGGGAAUACACCUGCCAAUCAUCUCAGUGCAGUGCUAUUGUUCUCAAAGUGCGAUCCCUGGGGCCACAGUAACAACUGCAUCACGGAGAAACUGCUAAAAGUGUAAAUUCCCAGCUUCCAGGGUCUGAUUUAUGAAGGCCUCCAGGUGAUCAUGGGCCAAAGUUAAGUCCCUGAAGCAGCAGUUAGGAUAGUAAUGGUAGGCUCCAGACUUCUCAGGUUCAAAUGUAGCCCUGCUGCUUGCUGAAUAGUGUCUUAGUUUGCUGAUAUAUAAGUUUGGAGUAAAUAUGGCCCCUGUCUCAUUUUUAUCAAGAUUGAGCUAACAUAUAUGAAAUUAUUUGAACAAUGAAGAAUGCUAUUUGACAUUAGGUAUUUAUAUCUUUUCUAUUUUAUGCUUUUCUAUUUACUAAAACUCCAAAGCAAAGCCCAGUAUUUGCUUGCCCCUUGUCCAUCUGCAUCCUUGAGGCAAGAACCUGAUAUCUCUGAGGAUACAGCUGCGGCAGGCUUUGCCAGAGCAGGCUACUGGUGAGUGCAGGAAGAGCUGUAUCAGGCCAACCCAUGGAAUAGGGUGAAAGUUUUAGAACCAAAGACAUUUCACUUUGCUUUGGGAAGAACCUCUGCCAGACCUCUGCUGUGGCAGCAGGAAGCAUUUGAUAACCAAGUGCUGUGUUCCGGUGUUUCGGACUCUGCAGACGGAGAAUCCUGUGGACCUGCUCUAUCAAGCUCUUUAGCUCUUGUUUGCAAAGUGGGUGAUUAUGUAAAGAGGAUGAUCACUCAAGACACCGUGACAUUUACCUAGCUUUUGCCUCCUGACUGCACAGAACCAAGUGACUCAGACAAAAGAUUGAUGCAUUGGAGGCUGAGGCAGUCAGGAAAGGCUUCAGAGCAGAAUAUUUGGAAACAGAUUGUGAUUCAAACCACAGCCUAGGCUUGUUGGGAGGCCAGGAUGAGCAGGGAUGUUGUUUUCCUCUGGAACGUUUCAAGAAGCUGCAUUUAUACCAAAUGGCCUUUCCUCUUAAUGUCCCAGCUCAGCUGGCUUUGCAAAACUGAUUGGUCCUUUUUUUUUUUCCUUACCCUAGGUGUUAAGAGAGGGAGAUUUGGAAAAAAAAAAGGGGGUUUCUGUAUGUACUAAGUAUGAUAAAGCUAUUUUAAGGUUUAUCUGAAACAUUAAACAAUAAGUAAUAGUCCACAAACAUUUGAAAAUAAGAGUAGAGGCAUUGAGUUUGCUUUACAAGAUAUCAAUGAUUGUUAAACUACAGUAAUUAAUAUGGAGACACUAGAAAAAAUGGAAGGAGUUGCCAGGAAAAUAGAUUCUUUGAUAAAUGUAAAAUAAGUACAUAUUGAGGAAGCAAGUCCAGUCUGGGAACCAGUGCCAUGCAUGAGCCACUGGCAGACUGGGAACAGCCAGACCCCAGCCUCUUCCAGUGCACUGGCCUGCAAACAAGUAGCAGUCCCUCCAUCCCUCUUAAGUGAUCAGCUUAUCUAGAGAAACACAGGCUGUGAUGAUAGCUAUGGAGGUGAAAUGCAAUUGGAUGCCUGUGGUUUUGUGGUGUUUCACUAACAUUGUCGGUCUGUGGCCUGUGGUCUGAUCAUAGGUUCAGAGGAUAGCCGUACACAGUGUGGCAUCUAGGGGGGAAGCUCUUUCUGGGGGUUGCAGCCAUUGUUGAUUCCCUAUGAUCUUAUUUUGGAAGUCCUAUAUCGUUUUUAUUGUUUUGUUGGGUUGGGUUUUAUUCUCUUUUGUUUUGUUUGAUUAUGUUAAAUUCAAUGGCAGGAGCAGCUAUCUCAAAGAUAGCAAGAUAUUUUAUGGUAGCAUUUUGGAUUUACUAUUACGCUGUUUUGAAGUCCUUUAUUGUAUUCAUUGUCUUGUUUUUAUUGUUUCUAUUCUCUUCUGUUCUGUUUGAUCUUUAUUAUGUUUGAAGUUAUCUGCAGCUAUUUUGAAGACAUCAAAAGGCAUUAUGGUAACUAUUGUUGAUUUCAUAAUGUUUUGAAACCCUGUAUCAACAACACUGGUUUGUUUUGUUUGGCUUUAUUAUGUUUUAUCUUUUUUAAAUAAAAAAAAGUAUGUGUUAAACUCAGGGCAAAGCAAUAUGGAUAUAUCAUCAUUAUUGCAUUAUUAUUAUUAUUGGUGCUAGAACUACUUUGAAAGCUACUCAGUCAAGUUAGUUCUCACUAAAUACCAAAUGCCAAAAUAAAUUUAAGGUGCAUUGAAUGUGUGUGAAAAUGGAAUCACGUGCAAAUACUGAAGGAAAGGAAAAGUAGGUGAAUAUCUGGGCAAUUUCCCUGUCUCUAGACAGAGGAAAGACUUGAAAUUCAAAGGCAAUAUCUUUGGCACAUGGGAAAAAAAACUGUUUCCUUCCCAUGGACUGGGUUUUCUUUUGAUUUUCUUAAUAACAAAUGCAAAUCCAGUUCCAGGAACUAAGGCUAUACAAAAUGUCUUCAACCACAUCCUCAAGUUUCUAUCCAAGAAAAUGCAAGACAUGGAGCAACCUGCAGAUUUUUGGUACCCUCCUAAUGGACCCUCUCUCUGACACAGAAUUGCUUGGCUCACCCAAGAUAUGCAUGUGACACUCCUCCCCAAGCUAGUGCGGCUCCCUGGGUCUUGAGGAAUGGAAAUACAGGGCUUGAUCAUAGCAUCUUCCUCAAAAGAGAGAAAGCAGAAGCAGUUCUAGGGUCAUCAAACACGUCUCAUUUUCCUGCCAAGUACUUGGCCAAGCUUUGUUCUCUUGGCAUUGUGGCCCAUUAAAUGUGGGUGGCAGUGAUGUGGUGUCGCCCCUCCUGCAUCUGACUAUCAGCAGUCUCUGUCUUUUCCUGUUCCACGGUGACCUUGCAAGCCACAUACUGAAAGCCACAACACCAUGAGACAGCAGCUACCCGGGAACUUACAAGAGGCUGAGUGCAGGUGAGAGGCAGCCUUCACGCUCAGCGGUAGGAUCUAUGCUUUUGGAGCAGCCUGAGGUUUUGCUGAUUGUUACAAUAAUGAAAAAAGAAUGAGAAUCUUCAAGCUGCUGCCAGACAUGACACAUGCCAUUCCUACCCACAUGGCUUUGAAAACAAGUUACACAGGUAUAUCCUUUUUCAUUAGGGGAGGAUGUAAUCCUAACCCAGUGAAGGUAAGUGAACUGAACAUUGAUAUAAUUCUCUUUGUAAAUAUGCUUCCUUCCAUAUAUACUACUGCAGUGGUAAAACUGUACCCGCUUUAUCUUUACUUACAGAGUCACUCUAAUUAUUAUCAGAGAAAAUAUGUCUCUAACAAAUUUACACCAAUAUUUAGGAUGUACAUAUUUUAAGAACUCAAAUUCCCAGUAGCAAAAAAAAAACACAAUUUCACCUUCAUGGGUCCUUAAUUUGGAGACAAAGUUUAAAUCGACUUUAGUAUAACAGGAUUUCAUAUUUACUAUUUAACUGUAAGGACCAUUUAUUCUUUUUGGUCCUUUCUCUAGUUUAGAGCUAGAGAAAGAACCAUUUGCCUAGAGUAUUAAACAGCAAAAUCUAAUGCAAAUAACUUACCAAGUUCUUUUGCAAAUAAUAAAGUCUAAUAUCUUGGCACUUUAUUCAUGUUUAAAUUUAAGAGUGAGUUCCCAUACCUAUUGGUAUGUCCAUUUUCUGCACCAAGAAGUGGAGGCGCUUUCUCCCUCAAAUCUCAUGACUAGGCCAGAGUCUUAGCAAGGAGAGUUUAAAUGGGUGUCACUAUCCUUUUGAGCCCUCAGAGCCAUCGAUGGAAUUAGACGGGAAGCCAGCACAAGGGUUGGGAGAGAAAUACGAGUGACAGAAAAUGACAGGAGAAGUUGGGUGCAGAUUUAUAAAACUCUAUCUCACAGUGCCAGGCUCAUGCCAAAUUACCUCCACUGUCACCCUGAAGCACUGUGUUGAGGUUGUGCAUUGUAGCAUGAGACUCUCAUCAUAUAUUUUUUUCUCAUCAAGCCUUGUUUACUAUUGGGAAAAUGCUCCUCUCAUGCAGCAGUUCAGAAAAUCUUCUCCUUAAAUAGUUACCUCUCUGGUUUCACUUGAUAAAAGAAUGAUUUAAUUGCCUUCUAGGACAAUCACCUUGAUAGCACCUAUUCUGUAGGAGAUAAAGGGAAUUAAAUUUGAUAUAUGCAUUUGGAUUUUCAAGAGAAUGUUGAAUCUUUUCCUAGUGAUUUUUGGAGGGCUGUUGCCACACUUUAAACACCUGUAAAAUUCUAUCAACAUCCUGUUGACAGUAAACUUUGGAGGAUCAUGGUCACCAUAAUCACAUGGCCAGCAUGGAGACUCUCAUUGAAGAAGCUCAGGAAGAAGUCCAACAUUGAAUGGUUCUCCCCAAAAGAUGGACCAAUGUUCAAGGAACCACUGGCUUUCUCUCAGAAAUUUAUACCUGCUUCUCAGAAGCUGUAGUGAAGGCAGUUAAUUACCUAGUAUUUAAAGAAAAUUCAGACAUUGUGAUUUGUGAGUAUGCAAACUAUUCUGAGUUUAAAGCUUAAAAAACACCUUCAAAACACUGACUGACCAGACUUAAUAAGGAAAAAGUAUUAAUAGGUGAAAGUUGACUUACAGACAUAAUCUUAAAUACUCCACAUAUUUACAACCAGAUAGUAUUAAAUGAAUAAUACUGCCUAAAUAAUACACUUCAUGAAACAGAUAAUUCCACAUUAUCCUCUCAAACCAAUUUUUAUUUGCACUCUGGCUAACAAAUAUAAUAUGAAGGCAACAGUUUAAGUGCUCUAGUGUAUGGCACAGAUGAAACAGAUUCAGAAGCAAGCCAGCAUUUCCAGGCUGGUUUAACAAAAGAGGCACGUAUUAUCCUAUUUAGCAGUUUAUACCAGAAGACAUUUUUCCCUUUGCAAGCAACAGACUACAUUUAUUUGCAUUAAGUAAAAACAUAUCUUGAUCAAGAAAAUUACUUUUAUUCUGAUUUUCCUUUAUAUCACAAGUGUUAGGGUAAGGCAAAUCCUUAAUGAAUCAUAUGAUAAAAACCCUAUUCUCCAAGAAAAUAUAUUGGACAUAUUCUGCUAACUUUGUUAUUGUGCGAAGCACAGCCAACAUGCAUCACAUACAGAGAAACAUCUUUUCAAAUCAAAUGCGUCAAGCAGAACUGUAUUAAUUCACAAAGAGGCUUUUCAGUGUUUCAUAGAAAGGUUUACAAUUAGCUGUGGUGAUUAAUAUGUGACCCAAUAUCACAGACAGUGUUUUGGAUGCCCUCUUUUUGGCUUUUAUGAAAGAAGGCUUGUCGAUCCUCUGACUAGUGACCAGCUAGAGGAAUAGGCCCUUUGUCUCACCCCAAGUGAGUACCUUCUGAAUUAGGACUGUUAUGCUGAAGGCCUACUUUGAUCCUCUGUGUGCAAACAUGACUCACCCGGGGCUGUUUCCCUCCUUCCCUCCUGUAACCCUUCAUACUACAUACCCUGACUGAAGUAUGGUUGGAAAGUAACACCCAGAAUCCAUGUGCAAGAGAAUCAAUUAGCUUUUGAAAUGUAUUUCAUUGUAUGGCCCAGGCACUGACAACCCCAGAGAGCGCUGGCUUCCUGCACUGAGAUAUCGUCCAUCUGGCUGAUGGCUAGAUUACUAAUAUAUUACUACUGGAAUGGAAACUAGUAUUUGUUUUAAAGCAUAAAACAAGAUAGCCCAAUAGUAACCAAAAGCAUAACAAAACCAAAAUGAAGCUGCAAUCUAAUUAUAAAAUGAAGUUUAAAGAAAUUCAGGAAUGAGAUGAUAAUAUUUAUGCUUCAGUGUCUUAGUUUUCAGGAUACAGAGAUUACUUUCCUUUUUCUACCACUUUUAGACCAAGAACUUAUUCUUUUCAUUCUUUAUUUACCCACAUUUAAGAAGAAUGACUAAAAGGGCUGUCAUUGGUGAUAAGGAGAACGCCUGGACUCGGAUAAUUGUAAUUCUGGCUGUUCCUCACAGGAAUAUUGGGUGUCUUUCCUCUUAGCCCAUUAACAAAACCUCCGUCCCUCUUCCCUCCUUGUUUUAAAGUAGAACUCAUUAUAGUAGCUGAGUAACAGUAACAUUGGGAGUUGCUGGAAAACAAGUUCCUAGCAGAUUGCACUCAUCAGGUACUUCACAAGAAUGACAACUUUCAACUGAGUUAUAAAUGGCAUGAAAUGUAGAACCUGUCAAUAUUUGGAUGGCAUCAAUUCUUGGAUGCUGCAAAAUAAGGCUUGUCUUUGCUCUUCCAGAAAGCAAUGUCAAAUGUCAAUAAAGGACAUUUAUGCUUCAAACUCUAGAAUAAUAGGAAGAGAAACGGCUAUAUCCCAACUUCACAAAAUCACUUAAAUAGCAUCACUGCUGUGUUGAUGAACAGCUUUAAAAAUAUGACAUACACAGAGUUAUAAUUUGCUAAGCAUUCCAAUAUACCAACCAAACCAUCUAGGAGGGGUAAUAAAUUCAGAAAGCUGAAAAAAAAUCUUCAGAAGAUGAAAAGAUGACUUUUCCAAAGAAAGGACAAACUUAAAGAACUGGAUGGGAUAUUUAGGAAACAGACAUUCUGUCAUUUUAGAAAUACUUAUGGUGAUUUACUACUUUUCUCCUUCUAUUAAAGCCCUAAAUAGGAAGGAAGGGGGAUU